GGGCGCAUGGCCUAAUGGUAAGGCGUCAGAUUUCGGUUACUACGACUACCUCUGAAGAUUGCAGGUUCGAUCCCUGCUGUGCUCG